CGUUCUUCGUACGUCGCUUACUACAUCCAAGAUCAAAUGACACAUCCAAGAUCAAAUCAUCGCGCUAACCGUGAGCUCGCUAAUCCGGUUCCCCGAACACACCUGCUGUUGACGAUUACUACAGCUGGACGCAGUAAUGUGACAUCACUGGGUGUCGUAAAAGGGGCUACGCAUCGAUAGUAGAAACAUUGAUCGGCAACCCUCUGAUUGGUCGGCGAAAAUGUCGACGGAGCGCGCUCGGCUCGGUAUUUUUCGGCAGCAGAGCAAGAACUCUUGAGAGAGGGAUUUCAGGAGUUUCAGAGUUUAAUCAGAACGCAAGGGAACACUGCAAAGGCUGCAAAAGCAAGGAGCGAGGGCUGGCAGGAAGUUGCUGACAAAUUAAACUCGUAAGUAAUUUAAUAAUAACAAUAAUAAUGGAGUGGAUUGAUAUAGCGCUUUUCAAGGCACCCAAAGCGCUGUACAAUGCCACUAUUCAGUCACUCUCACAUUCACACACUGGGGGAGGCAGCUACAGUUGUAGCCACAGCUGCCCUGGGGCAGACUGACAGAAGCCAGGCUGCCAUAUCGCGCCAUCGGCCCCUCUGGCCAACACCAGUAGGCGGUAGGGUAGAUUUAUUAUAUUACACUAUAUUAUCCAAUAUUAUAUUACAUUAUAUUAUAAUAUGUUAUAUUUUAUCCUCUGUCACAUUAGAGCCACGACAGGACCCACUAGAACAUGGGAACAAGUAAAAGUGAAAUAUAAGAAUAUUCUACAGAAUGGUAAUAUUUAUCACUUAUAUUGCUUUUAGUCUCUUGGAAAGAGACCCUGGAAUAAUCUGUUUGUUUAUAACAGCAACCAAGAAAAGGGCAGAGCAACAAAAGACAGGUGGUGGUCCUGCACCCCCUCGUCAACAAGUUGGUUAAGUAAAUAAUACCCUCACGGGAAUAUCGAUAUCUCUCUAUGAGCACACUGUCGCGCUGAGCUAAAGGAUCCUGUCUGUCCCGCAAUAUACGCUGAAUUCUGAAAACUCUCCUUAUCAAUCUUGCACCUUCCGCAAUGGGUUGGUCGCGUAUACGGACAGGACAUGGCUGCGACAGGCUUCCCAAAUCCACCUUCGCUUUUAUAGCCGUGGUCUCUCAUCUUGAUUACACGAAGUAAUUUACAAUUACUACUCUGAAAUAUGAAUUACAUCUGUAAUAAUCACAUACAUGUAAUAGAAUGUUAAUAGUAGAUUUCCCUUUUUUAGGAAAUGACCUGUAUGUAUCUGUGUGACAUCAAUAAAAGGAUCAAGUGCUGCAUUAUCUUUAGUUACAUUGAUAAUAUUUAUUUAUGGUGAAACAGUGGAAAAAUAUCGCUGUUGCUUUCGUAUAAAUGAAGCGGACAUACCUGCGUGGCCGCGAUCUAAUCCUGUUUACGCUUACGGCUCUGUUGCUAUGACAGCAAGUCCCGGAUGAGCUUCGGGGAACCGACUGAUACUCUAAAUGUUUUGGCUCUACCAUGAGAUUCAGGGACGGUCCAGCUGAUUUUUGAAGGGCAGAGACAAACUGUGAGGUUCUUUAUAGACACAGUCUGUUAUCAAGUUGUGUGAGAAUUUAUUUUUCAGAUGAUCUGACCUUGUUGGUGCA
ensembl:lncRNA